UACGUAGGGUGCAAGCGUUAAUCGGAAUUACUGGGCGUAAAGCGUGCGCAGGCGGUUUUGUAAGUCUGUCGUGAAAGCCCCGGGCUCAACCUGGGAAUUGCAUUCGAGACUGCAUGGCUAGGGUGCGGAAGAGGGAAGCGGAAUUUCCGGUGUAGCGGUGAAAUGCGUAGAUAUCGGAAGGAACACCAGUGGCGAAAAGCGGCUUCCUGGUCCAGCACCGACGUUCAGGCACGAAAGCGUGGGGAGCAAACAGG
rnacentral:rRNA from 1 species